GACGAACGCUGGCGGCGUGCUUAACACAUGCAAGUCGAACGGAAAGGCCCUGCUUUUGUGGGGUGCUCGAGUGGCGAACGGGUGAGUAACACGUGAGUAACCUGCCCUUGACUUUGGGAUAACUUCAGGAAACUGGGGCUAAUACCGGAUAGGAGCUCCUGCUGCAUGGUGGGGGUUGGAAAGUUUCGGCGGUUGGGGAUGGACUCGCGGCUUAUCAGCUUGUUGGUGGGGUAGUGGCUUACCAAGGCUUUGACGGGUAGCCGGCCUGAGAGGGUGACCGGCCACAUUGGGACUGAGAUACGGCCCAGACGCCUACGGGAGGCAGCAGUGGGGAAUAUUGCAAAAUGGGCGGAAGCCUGAUGCAGCAACGCCGCGUGCGGGAUGACGGCCUUCGGGUUGUAAACCGCUUUCGCCUGUGACGAAGCGUGAGUGACGGUAAUGGGUAAAGAAGCACCGGCUAACUACGU
rnacentral:rRNA from 1 species